CCUACGUGAGGCAGCAGUGGGGAAUAUUGGGCAAUGGGCGCAAGCCUGACCCAGCAACGCCGCGUGAAGGAAGAAGGCUUUCGGGUUGUAAACUUCUUUUCUCAGGGACGAAGCAAGUGACGGUACCUGACGAAUAAGCCACGGCUAACUACGUGCCAGCAGCCGCGGUAAUACGUAGGUGGCAAGCGUUAUCCGGAUUUACUGGGUGUAAAGGGAGUGUAGGCGGGAAAGCAAGUCAGAUGUGAAAACCAUGGGCUCAACCUGUGGCCUGCAUUUGAAACUGUUUUUCUUGAGUACUGGAGAGGCAGACGGAAGUCCUAGUGUAGCGGUGAAAUGCGUAGAUAUUAGGAGGAACACCAGUGGCGAAGGCGGUCUGCUGGACAGCAACUGACGCUGAGGCGCGAAAGCGUGGGGAGCAAACAGGAUUAGAUACCCUAGUAGUC
rnacentral:rRNA from 1 species